AAACUUUCAACAACGGAUCUCUUGGCUCUCGCAUCGAUGAAGAACGCAGAA
rnacentral:rRNA from 2 species